AUUGAACGCUGGCGGCAUGCCUUACACAUGCAAGUCGAACGGUAACGCGGGGCAACCUGGCGACGAGUGGCGAACGGGUGAGUAAUGUAUCGGAACGUGCCCAGUUGUGGGGGAUAACUGCUCGAAAGAGCAGCUAAUACCGCAUACGACCUGAGGGUGAAAGCGGGGGAUCGCAAGACCUCGCGCAAUUGGAGCGGCCGAUAUCAGAUUAGGUAGUUGGUGAGGUAAAGGCUCACCAAGCCGACGAUCUGUAGCUGGUCUGAGAGGACGACCAGCCACACUGGGACUGAGACACGGCCCAGACUCCUACGGGAGGCAGCAGUGGGGAAUUUUGGACAACGGACGCAAGUCUGAUCCAGCCAUGCCGCGUGCGGGAAGAAGGCCUUCGGGUUGUAAACCGCUUUUGUCAGGGAAGAAACGCUCUGGGUUAAUACCUCGGGGUAAUGACGGUACCUGAAGAAUAAGCACCGGCUAACUACGUGCCAGCCGCCGCGGUAAAAC
rnacentral:rRNA from 1 species